rnacentral:lncRNA from 1 species
AGAUCCUGGCCUCAGAUCUGGAGGCAGAAGCUGCAUGUGACUAGUGAUUUUGAGGCGGUCUGUGGAUUAUGUUCAUGGGGCGUUUGGGAUUGUCUGUCUGAGAAGACAGGUAUGUAUGCUGAGCAGCUACAGGGUUGGCUGGGUGAACAUGAUCAUUUCUGUUUCACCAACAUUCCUCACUUGAGAAGACCUUAUAUUUACAGGCCAGGCCUUGAGGUGGCAUACACCACUUCUGCCCCAGUUCUGCGGCUUGAACUCAGGCCUGGGACCACGCCCACCCGGGUGGGAGGCCGGACAGUGGACUCCAGUUGUGUUCCCAGGAAGAAGAGGAAAGAAGCUGCCUACAUCAUAGCUGCUGUUACAGUCGAAGGAAGGCUAAAGAAACACGACAACUAAACAUGAUGUAUUGUGGAUGGGAUUUGGGAACAGAAGGAGGACAUCAGGCAAAAGCCUAAGGAAAUCUAAAUAAAUCAUGGACUUUGGUUAAUGGUAAGGUAUCCAUAUCGAUUUGCUAAUUGUAACAAAUAGACUACACUGCUGUAAGAUCACAA